AGGGUGUAAACGCUGCAGACUUGGUGUUGGGAACCCUUCGGGGGUGCUCAGUGCCGGAGAGAAGUUGUUAAGUCUGCUACUUGGGGAGUACGUCCGCAAGGAUGAAACUUAAAGGAAUUGGCGGGGGAGCACCGCAACGGGAGGAGCGUGCGGUUUAAUUGGAUUCAACGCCGAAAAACUCACCAGCAGCGACUGUUACAUGAAACCCAGACUAAUGAUCUUGGUUGAUUUUCAGAGAGGUGGUGCAUGGCGUCAGUGACU
rnacentral:rRNA from 1 species